rnacentral:misc_RNA from 1 species
AUCCGAUCCGUGUUGUGUCCUUAGCACAAGGGUUUAGACCCGAUGCAGCAGUUGGAAGGUGAAAACAAAUGCCUGUUCUUAUACAAUCUCCCAUCCUCUUUAGCUGUUGAUAAAACCUUGCAAAUGAACUUGAACCUCUGGGGAACCAAAAGGGGCACUUUCUCAUAUGGCACCAGAAACACCACAGGGUGAGGUCAAGAACCAUGACCAAGAGCACCCGCAACAAAUUAA